UAUGUCUAAACAAGUCCGAGUCCUGUAAUGUUUUCAUAACAAUUGAAUACAAUUCUAUCUGUACCAUUGAUUUCUCAUGGUAUCAGAGGGAAAAACAACCGUUAAAAUUCUUUUUCGAUCCUAGGUUUUCAUCUCCGUACUUUUCUUUAAUGGAGAAUCAGUCUUUAGUUUCCGAUGCAUCAUCAUCGUCAUCAUUAAAAGGUUACAAGAAGAAGAAGAAGAAAAAGAAGAAGAAGAAAGCAAAUUAUGAUAUUGAAGAAGCUUCUACUUCCGCUGCUAUAAUGAUCAGAAAUUUUGGCUUUUCUUGCUACAACGAUGAUGAAUUCCUAUUUGAUAGAGAGAACACCAAAAAUAAUUUGAGAAUCUCAACCAACAGAGAACAACAAAACAAAUACUGGAAGUUACGAUUUAUGCUGCUAAUCAACUUGUGAUGCUGCUGGUUCUAAUUUUUGAUAAGAAGGUUCACAGGUACUACUUGUCCUAUGUUUGUACUACAACAAGGGCCUGGUGGUGCUUCUACUUCAACAACUACUUCUUUCACUUGUACUACUUUUGCUUCUCCAAUAUAUUUCAGAGUUCUUAAUUUUUUGUUGCUGCCAACAUUUGCUUGAGGCUCCAAUUUUUACUUUGUCGAUUUGUGUAUAAAUGAUGCUGCAAUUACAGUUUUUCUGUUUCUACCGCUGCUGGGCUUGUGGCAAUGGGUGCUGUUAUUUCUUCACCAACUGACAGUUCUAUUACUUGCAUCCAGUGAUGCUGCAAAUUCUAAUACUGCUGAUAUUGCUGAUGUGUUACUGAACACAACGUUUAUGUUUAGUUUUCUUAUGUAAAGUCUUGUUUGUGUUGUCUGCAACUUUGUAUGAGUUUGCUGUCAAGAUUUUGCAGGUGUAACUGUUUGUUCCUUUUGUCAAACUUAUAGUGGCUGUCACUAUAGGUUUGAGGGGGAUGUUAGAGUAUAAGAGAGUCUUGGUUAAAUAAUAGUCAAUUGUGUUUGACAGAAGUCUUGUUUGUGUUGUUGGAUUUCUGUGACUAACAGUGUGUCGGCUAAGUCUUUAAAUAUGUCUAAACAAGUCCGAGUCCUGUAAUGUUUUCAUAAAAAUUGAAUACAAUUCUAUCUGUACCAUUGAUUUCUCA